GCGUUCCAUCGCGAUGCAGCGCGAGAGCCUUGGAAGCAGCUGGCAACAGCGGUUGGACGACUUGAAAAACAAUGCCAACCCUCGUGCUAGUCGAUUGCAAGAUCGGCGACACUUUCGAAUUGACGGGGAACUCCUAAAGCCCUCCACACCAAACCAGCUCAGGGAAACCUGCUGGCGGCCCAAGGGAAACCUUGGGGUACGGUAACAGAUGGAGGGAUGGGACAAUGGACGACCCGCAGCGAAGCCCCUGUGCCUCACAGGCUGGGGAACGUUCACAGGCCAAGCGGAAGUGGGUGGGGUUCGCCUCGCUUAAGAUAUGGUCGGGCCUCGGCGGAAACGCCGGGGGGUCGAGACGUUCCGUAGGUGAACCUGCGGAAGGAUCAUUAAACAUUUUGGCCGUAACAAGCCUUAAACCUUAUCUAUGCGUACCUUCACAUUCUCCUUCGGCGGGGUAACGCCCGCCGUCGGAACAACAAACCCAUUUGCAUCCAGUAUUCUACCAGUUCUGAUAAAAAUUCAAUCGUUACAACUUUCAACAAUGGAUCUCUUGGCUCUGGCAUCGAUGAAGAACGCAGCGAAAUGCGAUAAGUAGUGUGAAUUGCAGAAUUCAGUGAAUCAUCGAAUCUUUGAACGCACAUUGCGCCCCUUGGUAUUCCAUGGGGCAUGCCUGUUCGAGCGUCAUAUACACCCUCAAGCUCUGCUUGGUGUUGGGCGUCUGUCCCGCCUCCGCGCGCGGACUCGCCCCAAAUCCAUUGGCAGCGGUCCUUGCCCCCUCUCGCGCAGCACAUUGCGCUUCUCGAGGGCGGCUCCGGGCCUGCGACCCACGAAGAUGAGCCGUCUUUUGACCUCGGAUCACGUAGGGAUACCCGCUGAACUUAAGCAUACAAAAG
rnacentral:rRNA from 1 species